UAGUAUUAAAAUAACAAAAUCUUUAAAAUUUUUAAUUUCUAAUUAAAAACAAGCAUAUUAA
rnacentral:tRNA from 1 species